AAAGGUAAUUCGAUGGUUUUAUACCCCAUCACAUGCAUUUCCGUCUAAGGAAAAUAGCUAUAAUUGACAAAGUAUGCAGGAAGAUACAAACUGUAUAUACGCCGUUCAGAGCUGAAGAGGAUGCGAAUUAAAGAUGCGUUUCAGCUAGAUUUCUCAUGCACGACAGGAAGUACUAAAUUUACAAAGAUCAGUACUUUCAGUACUUCUUUAUAUAGGUUUAUAUAGUAUUGACGCAUAUAAUAAAUAUGUAUACAAAGAGGAAUCAUUGCAUAUGAAUUACGGGGAGGUUUGAUGGCAGAAUAUCAUUAUACUUUCUUGAGUUUCUUCUGAAUCGAAUUAUCGAACUCUUUAAAAGGUCUUUCAAGAGGGCCGAAGGAGGGGCUGGGAGGCUUUUUCUCUCCAGUUAUAUUGUUAAAAAAAGCCUUGCCUAUGAUAUACAACGUGGACACAACGCUGACACACAGUCAACAUCAACCGAUUUAUUAACGUCAUGCAUGCAGUGUACGAUGAGACCCACCAAUUCAAUAGAAUUAAAAUAUUCUUUGCAGACCCUUUGCACUGGGUUACAAUUCAUCACUUGGUAGUUGGUACUUCCAUUUAGUUUCACGCGAGUAGUAGUUAAAUAUAUAUCAUUGAAUCCGUUCAUGACAUGGGUCAUGAAUCUUCCAGUUCUCUCUUCUACGUCAAGGUCACAAGAUGUAUUUAUUAUUUGAAAAUAUGUUGUCAAUAUAAUUUCAGGCCACAUAGGGUGCCUCUCCUUAAAAACGCAAGCGCUCUAGAUUUUGUCACUUUCGUUCGGUGUCUUCCACAUAUGAAAAUCAUGAAAGUUGAUUACAAAAUUUUGGUUCUCGCGUUUAUCGCUAUCUGUUUGUUUGUCGACACCGACGCGUGGUUUGGGGGACGCCGAAAAUCAAGUCGAACGGUCGUAGUUGGUGCAAAACAUAUGGGAAAAUCAUGGAAAAAUGUGGGCAAAAGCGGAAGCGAUAAAGGGAAAAACGUGGGUUCAUUUGUUAAGUCUGGAGGGGCAAACGCAACUGCAUGAUAACAUGAAAAAGCUUGGGAAACGGAAGAAGCGUUUAUCGUGUAGCGGAUAAAAACACGAGUUGCUGAAGAAAUCGAAAAACUGAACCUGCAUGUGAAUGGAAAUCCGGAAAAUAGAAUUAAAGAGUAAUCCUGCAAUAGCUAUAGAGAAGAUACAAAUCAUACAAUACGUUAUAGAGUACCAUGCCUAAAUGUUUUUCAUUUCCUGAUAUGACGCCAAAUCAACAUUUAGUUUUAGACUUGCAUAAAUAUGUUUUCGAUCACCCUAAAACCUAUUUUCCAAAGCUCAAUUAUAAAGCAUUGCUCAUGAUCUCAUGAUAUAGUUUAAUGAUUAAGUCUGAAGUCUCAGCUCGGAGGUCAUUUUCGUAUGUUUUUUCAUGCCUCCUCUUUAAUUUUUACUCCUGCAUAGAAACCAAUAAUUGCAUGGACCGUAUGCAUGCAGCAAGUCGCUAACGCACCUGUGAAAAGCUAAAAAAAUAUUCAAAUGGCACGUACUUGUUCUAUCUUUACUGUAUUGAUACCAUCUACUUUGCCAAACAAAUCAGAAAGUGCUGUCAUUUGAUAUACCGCAUACAGUAAUUCAAUACACCAUAAACAAUUCUCCACGGCUAGUCGGCUAUCAUACUCACUCUAAUUUGUUCAAUCAUGGCUGAGACACAAAAUCAACAGUAUGUGCUUUCUGGUGAAAAUAUCGGUUCGCUUGGAUUAGAAAAUGAACUAGCGAGUUUAUCAGAAGUCACAACGCUUGUCGGACAGCAGCAAUUAAAGGAAGAAAAUGAACCAUGGUGGACUUGCAACAAAUAUCAGGUUCACGACGGAAACAUGAAAACUGUACUAACAAUAGAGGAAGAGAAUGCUCACCCGGCUAUUGUCAGAGCUAUAUGUUCAACUAAUCGUCCUUUUUUUAUGAGUGUGUUCGACAAAACAUCCAACAACAAAAUUUUGGAAUUUGAACGAUUGAUGAAAUGUUGUAGCCCAAUCUUUUUUCCUCGUUCACGUGCUACCAUUGUUGUGAGAGACAGAAGAGCGCAGAUCUUGGGUUUUGUCAAACAUGCUGCGCGUGAAACCUGCUUGUCGUGGUUUGGUCCUUCUGUUUAUUAUGAGAUUGCAGACGAAGUAGGCAAUGUGGAGUUUAUUGUUAAUGGUCCUGGGGGCUGCGUGUUCGAGUGUACAAGGCCCGAUGUCUUUAGGAUUAUGAAUAAAAGCCUUUCAAAACAAGUUGGUGAAAUAUCUCAUGACUGGCGAGGUUGCUGCGGUGGUAGUCUAAGUCUUUUUUUGUCACCUGAGGUUGACAAUUUUACACUUAGGGUCGAUAAAGACCUACCGGUAAAAAGCAAAGCCCUUCUUUUUGGAGCAUUAAUUUUGGCGCAUUUCAAUUACAUGGAGGUUCUGUAAUUAUUCAAUGAAGACAAAAUGCGUGUAUGAGAUGAAUGCUGAUAGUAAUAUUGGCGGACAAUAGUGUACCAUUGCAUGCAUGGGAGACGCGCAUAUAUAUACUUGAACGGUUUGCGAUAAACCUUGUCGUUUGUUAAGAAGAAUUUUUUAUUCCUAAAGUAUACACACCAGAGUUCUACUUCGAUGUCUUCUUCUAUAAAAAAGUCUUAGACCUGUUCAAAAUUCCAAUUCUGAUCUAACAGUGUAAAGUUUGUAAAUCGGGCCUUUUUCUGACCCGAUUUUCCACUAUCAGGCGGAAUUCUGUGAUCGAACGAAUUUUUGAGACGUUUGACCAAAGGCGAAGCGGAUCACUUGAACGAUAAAAAUUGAGAGGAAGCCGAGCAAAAAAUCGUUCGAUCGAAAAACCCGCUCAGUUGAAAACCGCCUUGUCACAGUCUCGGAAAUACCUUUGUAAUCAACAUUGAAAUUCUAGUGCGCAAAAAAAUUUGAACGAUAUAGUGGCGCUCUUUAUUUCAACGAGUGUACGAUCGGAAAUAUGAAAUACGAAAUAGUCCCCACGUUUAUAUAUGACAGGUGUUUCAUUUGCAUCUUGUCUCAUACAUACAAACAGUGGACUGGGACAAGCCAAAACAAAUGAAUACAUAUAUUAUUUUGGCCGUCAGCAGAUGUUAUACUACUCUCUGCUUCGAAGAAAGGAUCAAACAUAACCUUUUUAAAGCUGAACUAGUAUUUCUGAACAGGUUUACAAGGAAGCCUUAUACUACCAAAUUCAGACGUUAAUAAAGAG
rnacentral:misc_RNA from 1 species